UUUCGAGUGUGCACCAGGUAAUUCGUGACGCUGUAAACACCACUAUGUAGUUGCAAGUCUUGCAUAGUUGCAUUGAAUAUCUCUGUCUUGAUCUUCUUAGUAAUGGAAGGUCUUGCAAAAAGCAGUAGAGCAAGAUCUUAUAGUAAUGUACUGCUAACUGUGAAGAAAUUAAAAGUAAAAGGAAAAAUAAGUUUUAUGUAGGAAAUAAUU
rnacentral:lncRNA from 1 species